UGAAGGUCUGCAUGACGUUUGAGCCAGCUCUGAGGAACUCUCGAUGAAGCUGGCGAACUGGGAGAGUGAAUGAGGAAAGAGACAGCAUCUCACUAUGUGCCCAGAGGAACUUGAACUCCUGGGCUCAGAAGAUCCUCCAGUCUCACCCUCCCCAGCAGCCAAAACUACAGGCUCGUGCCACAGUGCCCAGCAAUGCUAUUAAGCCAUUUUAUUUUAAGACUGAAAAGGUGGCCAAAUCACUCAAAGACUUCUAUCUUUGGUGUUAAAAUUCAGUUUCCACAACAGUAGCUAUGCUAUACAGUCCAGGUUAUGAGUGUGCACAUGCUGUACUCUAUGAUGAGAACAAGGAAGAGACAACUAAAGUAUUUGUUGAAUGAUUUUUCAGCCCAAUCUCCAUACUUAUUCCAUUUACAAUACUGUGCAGUAAUCACCCUGGUGUUGUUCUAUGGAUAACUUUGGAAUUAAGUAUUUUGAAAGGGUUUUGUGAAUUACAAAGUAAUUCUCUAGUUUAAUAGAUUUUUUGUAAUUUCAAAGAAUCAUAGACUUUAAAAAUAAAUAGUACUCAAUUCAA